rnacentral:misc_RNA from 1 species
UUUCCGUAGGUGAACCUGCGGAAGGAUCAUUAAAAAAUGUGGUACCAAUUGUUGGUACUAAUUAAUCAUCCUACCCUUUGUGAAUUUGUUUGUAUGAAUUUUUUAAAUGGGUCUUUCCCUAAGUUGGAUUGUUAGUAAAAUACAAAAAGACUUAGGGGAAUGACUUUUUUAAAAGACUUUUUUUUAAUUAAAACUUUUUGUAUUCAUUUGUCUAAAAUUUAUUUUUAUAAUAUAAAAACAACUUUUGACAAUGGAUCUCUUGGUUCUCGCAACGAUGAAGAACGCAGCAAAAUGCGAUAAGUAGUGUGAAUUGCAGAAUACGUGAAUCAUCGAAUCUUCGAACGCAUAUUGCACUUUUUUAGUUUACUAAAAAAGUAUGUCUGUUUGAGUAUCAGUAAAAUAUUCUCACAAACAUAUAUUGUUUGUGGUUAUGAGUGUUUUACAACGAUAAACAAGUUGUUUCACUUUAAAUUCUUUUUAAUUGAUUUUUACCAAUUUACAAAUUAAAAUUGGAUAAAAUUUUCCUUUAACGAGGAAUAACCUAAACGAUUUUAAAUUUUUGGUUUGUAAACAUCAUCAAAGGAAUCUAUAUACAUAAAUAACUUGAUCUCAAAUCAGAUAAGAGUACCCGCUGAACUUAAGCAUAUCAAUAAGCGGAGGAAAAGAAACUAACAAGGAUUCCCUUAGUAACGGCGAGUGAAGCGGGAAGAGCUCAAAUUUGAAAUCUUCAAGGUUUGACCUUGACGAAUUGUAGUUUAUAGAAGUGUUUUCUGUUGGAGUUUUGGUAAAAGUUCUUUGGAAUAGGACAUCAUAGAGGGUGAGAAUCCCGUAUUUGACCAUGACUUUCCAGCUGUGUGAUACACUUUCAAAGAGUCGGAUUGUUUGGGAAUGCAGUCCAAAAUGGGUGGUAAAUUUCAUCUAAAGCUAAAUAUUGGCGAGAGACCGAUAGCGAACAAGUACCGUGAGGGAAAGAUGAAAAGAACUUUGAAAAGAGAGUUAAACAGUACGUGAAAUUGUCAAAAGGGAAGCGUUUGACACCAGUGUUGUUUUCUCGAAAAUCAAUUUAAUGAGUUCUUGUUUUUAAGUUAUUGUGACUUUAUCAGCGCAUUUCUUAUUUUACUUGACUCAUUGAAUGCACUUUUCGUUUAACAAGUCAACAUCAAUUUCUUUGGUGGUAAAAAGUUUAAAGGAAGGUGGCUUGGACUUCGGUUCAAGUGUUUAUAGCCUUUUUUCUAUGCCAUCGGAGAGAUUGAGGUCUGCAGCGUAGAUCCUUCGGGGUUAGAUACCUUUGUGCUAAGUUAUAGUUUUUUAUAGACAACUUGUUGACUAUAAUUAACCCUGUAAUUUACUCGCUUAGGCUAUUUUACCUACGCUUAGGAUGUUG